rnacentral:lncRNA from 1 species
GUGGCACUAAGAUGAGAGAGGAAGUUUCACUGGCCUUUUUGCAUGACUACAACUUCCCAACUAGCUCCUGUUGUCACAAAAAAAAAGAGUCAAAAAGGGAAACUGGCAGCAGCAGCAGCAGCGCCCAACUGACUUCCAGUUACUCGACAGGAUAAGGGCCGGAGCGAUGCUCUACGAGGAAAACAACGCACACAGCUCGGGGGGAGGAGGAAGGGCAGCCCCACACAGCGCCCCGCGGGACCCCAACACGGCGGCAGCUCCGUCACACGCGGCCCGAAGGGCGGGACGGGCGGUCACACAGCGGCCGCGAACAGCGCGGGCUGCGACGGCAAAGCCGCAGGGAGAGCAGAACCGCCGAGCUGGGCAGCGAUAGGGGCAGCGCUCUGCCAGCGUGCGAGGCAGGGAGGAUCGCAUCAGAGUUAUUAGCGGGGAGCUCGCAAGUGAUUCCAGUGCGGUAGGAACUCAGCACCAGCGCCGCGCCGCCGCCGCCCGGCCGCCAUCAUAGGGCCCGACCGCGCGGCCACGCC